UACAGAGGAGCCAAGCGUUGUCCGGAUUGACUGGGCGUAAAGCGCACGCAGGCGGCACCGUGCGUGGGGUGUGAAAUCUGGCCGCUUAACGGCCAGGCGCCAUCCCAUACGGCGGAGCUGGAGUGAUGCAGAGGUCGAUGGAAUUGCCGGUGUAGUGGUGAAAUGCGUAGAGAUCCGGAGGAACCCCAGAGGCGAAGGCGGCGCUCUGGCUCGCAACUGACGCUCAGACACGACAGCAUGGGGAGCGAACGGG
rnacentral:rRNA from 1 species